CCUCCUUUUACGUUCCCUUCCCCUUUCCUGCUUUCCCCCUCCCUUCCUUAGCCAUCCGGGUAUUUCCAGCACCCUGCAGGAGCCAGCUGACUCCCACCCUGAGGAAUCUGGAGUCCUCUGGGAGGGAUCCACGGGCUUCAGGAGUCUUGAUCUUUAGUCUGCCCGAGUUCUCCGUGAGUUCUCCUGUGACAGGACAGCAGCUUAGCCUCCCUUGGGAGAGCUUUACCUGCUUGAUGCCCUGGACCUCACAGAGAACAGCCAGCUAUGACCUAAUGCCACAAUCAUAACUCUGAGCCAUGUCAAGGAUCCCAGAUCCCAUGGGCUCCAAGCUGUCAUCAGGCCCUCUGCAUCUGCAGUAUCCUAUUUUCCUCAGGGCUCGCCUGCACUGCCUUAGUGUGGUCCAGCACUGCUUCUGGCAGAAGCAUGGACCCCCGUGUACUCUCUCCAUAGACUUCUGCCUUUCUGCAUUCACAAUGAAUGUUGCUGGGCCCCUCCUGUGCAGCCAUGGCCCCACAGUGGCUCAUGAACAGCCCAGAUAAACACUCUGCUUCAACGGGUCGUGAUGAUGAAGAGUCAGCUCGGGCUAAGCUAGAGAUGUGCCUGCAAGGUCCAUUGGCACCUCCAUCUCUUCCAUGUUACAGGGCAGCCUCCACUCCACAUCCCCUUGAGCUCCAGCCUCUUCAGGGCUGACUCUAGAAGGCUCUACACAGAUGCCUCCUCUUCCUCACCCCUCACUCACUGCUCCUUUUAAGAAACUGUCCAGUGUGUGUCCCAGUGAGUUUCCUGUGUCCCUCUGACAUCCAGACCAUGCACGGAGGGCCAGAUAUGUCCCUAAUCCUGAGGCCUGAAUCACAGAGGCCCGUUAGUGAUAUGGAUAGUAGCUUUACCAGAAGAGACAGAAGAGCUUACUCAGUUCCUCUGACCUGUGACCUUUUAGGUCACAGGUCACCAGGUGAGAGAUGUGGACUACUUCUAAACCAGGAAGAAAGCUCUCUCCACAGAAAAAGGUCACAGGUCACCAGGUGAGAGAUGUGGACUACUUCUAAACCAGGAAGAAAGCUCUCUCCACAGAAUCAUGUUGGCCCAAAUCUCCACCAUGGACCUGUUCUUGGACUGCAACCUCCAGAGCUUUGAGAAAAUACAUUUCUGCUCCUGAAGGCAUCCAGUCGACGGUAUUUUGUUACAGUGACCAAGGUUGACAAAUGUGCACACAGGCACAUGUCCUCAGUGGACAAGCACAAGUGACUAAACAGAGUUACUGUGUCCUCCCUUCUGUAACCGGCCCCUCUGCCAGGAGGGGAUACAGUUCCCCAGGCCUGUCCUAUCCCACUCUCACCCUGACUGUCAGUGUCCUUAAGUCACCUGUUGAAAUCCAGUCAGUAUCAGGAAGAGGGUCUUUAAGAAGUGAUGAGAUUGGGACUGGAGAGGUGGCUCAUCCGUUGAGAGCACUAACUGCUCUU